rnacentral:rRNA from 1 species
UACAGAGGGUGCGAGCGUUAAUCGGAGUUACUGGGCGUAAAGAGCUCGUAGGCGGUCUGUUGCGUCCGCUGUGAAAACUCGGGGCUUAACCCCGAGCCUGCAGUGGAUACGGGCAGACUAGAGGUAGGUAGGGGAGAAUGGAAUUCCCGGUGUAGCGGUGAAAUGCGCAGAUAUCGGGAGGAACACCGGUGGCGAAGGCGGUUCUCUGGGCCUUACCUGACGCUGAGGAGCGAAAGCGUGGGGAGCGAACAGG